UGCUCGGCUGCAGGACCCGCUGAGAACAGGACUCCCUAGGGUACCCCCAGGAUUUCCCGGAGGGACUCCUCGCCUCAAUCGGAUCACUGUGGGAGCAGACAAGGACCAUCUAAAGGAGUAAAGGUGAUCCACUAAAAGAGAAGUGGAAUGGACCCUACCAGGUGUUGCUGACCACUUUCACUGCAAUCAAGAUAAAGGAGCAACCAGCUUGGAUUCACUAUUCCGGAGUGAAGAAGGCUCCAGAUAAGCAGUGGACUUCUGAACCUCUGGGACCUUUGAAAUUAAAACUACAAAGACAUUAAUAUGGGAAAAGAAAAUAAACACAUAAGCAUUUUAAUUAUAAUAUCUACCAUAGGCAUUGUUGCUGCUUGGAGUGAGAAUGUGCACUAUCAAGUAAUUCAGACACUAGUCAAUGCCACUAGGGCAAAAGAUUGUUGGAUUUGCACAGCAUUACCUAGAGGCUCCAAACUGCCACUAUAUGGGGUAGCCAGUAUGAAUUGGACUAAAAACGUGUUUUGGAAUUUUAAUUACUCUUGUAAAUAUGGCCAAGAGAAUGAUACUUCCAAAGGACCACAAUUUGACCUAGUUGCUCUAACAAAUAAUACUUCGUUCUGUCAAAAGGACCCGCAAGAUAGAUCUGCAGACUUAGGAUAUAGAAAUAUAACAGGAAUAGGAUGUAGUUGGAAUUAUUCAGCAACUACCACAUAUGGUGGAACUGUUUGGAGCCAAGGCUCAAAAUGAAAUUGUGGUUCUGGUCCUGGUUUGGAAAUAUAUCAAUAUGGCCUGAAAAUGACCAAGGGGUCUUGUAGAUUGCCCCAUGGAUGGUGGUGGUUAUGUGGAGAUGGAUACGUGUGAAAGACACUACCUGAAGGAAUGGUAUGGUGUGUGUACAGCAGGACAUCUAACCACCCAGGAUACUCUACAUAACCACUCCCAGAUACCCCCAGGGUUUUUGAGGAGCUUAUUACUAAAAGUACAAAAGCAAACCUCAAAUCCCUUGAUAGAACGACCCUCAGGAUUUCAUAGUUUUGUACGGUGGUUAUUCCCCAUGCUAGGGGUCAGUGAGUUAGAAAAAGCAAUUGUAAACAUCUCUGCUACCUUAGAUGAAAUACUUAACGCCUCUAUGAAUGCUAUUGCUAAUAUGCAAGUUGAAAUCACUUCCCUAUCACAAGUAGUGGUACAGAAUAGAAUGACCCUAGACACAUUAACUGCAGAAGUGGGAGGAGUAUGCAUGGUAAUUAAUCAGAGCUGUUGCAGCUAUAUUAAUCAAGAAGGGCAGAUUGAAAAGGACUUACACAAAAUAUGGGAAAAGACUAGGAUUUUCCACAAAAUUAAGGACAAUACGGAAUGGGGCUUUACAGAUUUAUGGGAUAAAUUGACUUCUUGGCUUCCUAAUUUUGGAUGGUUAAAACAACUAUUCAUCAGAUUAAUUACUCUGGCAAUUUUAGGAAUAUUUGUGUGUAUGUUUUUCAAAUGUUUUCUUUGGUGUUGCCAGAAUUCAGCUGAAACGUACAGUGACUGGAAAAGAAAUAAGAUUAGACAUCAGGUGGAAAUGGGAAAAUAUUUUGCUCAGACUCUUGAAAAGGAUGGAAUAUUAUAGAAUAUUGCAAAAGAGUUUGCAAUGACAAAGAAAAAGAGGGGAUUGAAGCGAGAGCCUGAUGGAAAUUUACUAGCCAAAGCCUUUUUAACAAGCAGCAGCAAUGAACUAUGUAGCAGUGGCAUUGUGAAACGUAUAUGUAAGCGCAUUGUAAUCCUUUAGCGGAAUUUAUCUCUAAGAACAGAAUGCAAGGCUACUAUGAGAUAAAGAGGCACAGGAUGCCUUAAGACUGCAGAACUGGCUGAAACUAGCUCUGUGGUUUUUGUCAGCAAGAACAAGGGAGUAAAAGCUAUAGUUCACCAAGAGGACAUGGUGAUGAAGAGGAGUGGAUGAAGUAAACGACCACCAGAUGUCUCUGAAGCCCACCCAAAGAGUAUAAUGCGCAUGUGGGAAUGGGUGGUUACCUAUGAUAAUGAGUUCUCGGGAAAAUCAUGAAUAUGUUAAUCACUUCUCGGAAAUCUUAUGAAUAUGUAUGUAUAACUUGUAUAUAAGCUGUAUAACUGACCUGGCAUGGUGCGCACAUUAGGAGGAGUGAUCCCCUGUGUGUCCAGCACUGCGAUAAAGAUUACCUACUUAAUAGUCACCAUGACUAUUGAGUCCUGAUUUUGGCUUUUUCACGGCAACACAACCAAACAAAAUGAAACCAUUUCCUCUGUGUUUCACACAGAUAGUACCUUCUGGCAGAAGUACCAGUCUCUUCAGACUGUGUGUUUCUGCUUCUUCCACCAUACUAGUGUCUGAGUUGGAUGUAUCAGUUGGAAGUGUGGGGAUGGGAAGAUAAAUUACUUCUUGAAUCUGCAUGGCUGUGGAGAUUGUAAGCGUAUGAUGCCUCAUAGUAAAGCUUAUCAUUAUAUUAUCAUUAACUUCUUUUCUGCUUCUGAUUUUAAUUUUCUUAACCAGGUAAAAAUCCUAAUGAAAUAAUGGUGGAGAGUUCAACCUACAUGAACUUCAGAGGAAAAAUAACCAAAAGUUUGUUGUCUGUCUUGUAAGAGUUAUGAUGGGACAUUUGCCACCUUUAUAGAUAUUUAGGAUUCUACCUCAGAAACAGUAUGCAUGAUUGUAUGCCUACACAUCAUCUCUGGAAGGUUCCCUGAUACUCUGUACUAGGCUUUGAGGCUUUUUUCUUCUAAACUGUUUGCAUAUAAUAGUUUUUUUUGAACAG